rnacentral:lncRNA from 1 species
AUUUUAAUUAACUUUGAUGGUAAAUCAACAGUACUAAUUGGCCAAGUAUUUUUAUUACCAUAUUUGUAACUUUAUUACCUUUUUAAUUUAGGAUUAGGAGACAGCAAUGCGGUUAAUAUAGACUGAGGUCGCAUGCAUCCCUUUGUAUUUCAAGUAGAUAAGGAAUGCACUUAAGUGUCUAAAUAUGGUUAAAGUGCUUGACUAUCAUGUUAACAAUGGUGUGUUGAAAGAAAUAAAAAAAAUGGAAGAUCUUAAUUGAUGAUUCAACCUAAUUUUUUCAAAUUCAAAAUAUUACAUUUAAAUUAUUUUACUUAUUUUCGAAAUAAAAAAAUGGAAGAUCUUAAUUGAUGAUUCAACCUAAUUUUUUCAAAUUCAAAAUAUUACAUUAAAUAUAUUUACUUAUUUCAAAUACAUUGUAUUUUGUAGUUCUAUUAUUUGCUAAUCAUUUAAGAUUAUUGUUGAAAUUCUAAAUAUGAAUGGGGGAAUGUAAAACAUUGUUGUUUUGAGUUGAUAUACAUUUUCAAUAUCCUCACAUGCCAAAUGGUGCAAUUUUCAGUAUACUCACAUGCCAAACGAUACAAGUGAUAUUCUAUACUAAAUUUGUCUGAAUUAUUAGAGGAAUUCGAACUUAAGUGCAAGAGAGC